GAUGAACGCUAGCGAUAGGCUUAACACAUGCAAGUCGAGGGGCAGCACAAGGUAGCUUGCUAUCUGGGUGGCGACCGGCGCACGGGUGCGUAACGCGUAUGCAACUUGCCCUAUACAGGAGGAUAACCCGUCGAAAGACGGACUAAUACUGCGUAUGCUCACAACUUGGCAUCAAGUGGUGAGGAAAGAAAUUCGGUAUAGGAUAGGCAUGCGUCCCAUUAGCUUGUCGGUGAGGUAACGGCUCACCAAGGCAACGAUGGGUAGGGGAACUGAGAGGUUUAUCCCCCACACUGGUACUGAGACACGGACCAGACUCCUACGGGAGGCAGCAGUGAGGAAUAUUGGUCAAUGGGCGCGAGCCUGAACCAGCCAAGUCGCGUGAAGGAAGACUGUCUUAUGGAUUGUAAACUUCUUUUAUACGGGAAUAACAAGAGUCACGUGUGACUCCCUGCAUGUACCGUAUGAAUAAGCAUCGGCUAACUCCGUG
rnacentral:rRNA from 1 species